UACGUUCGCCAUGUUCAGGUCCAGUCCUU
rnacentral:piRNA from 1 species